CACGUAGGGCGCAAGCGUUGUCCGGAAUUAUUGGGCGUAAAGAGCUCGUAGGUGGUUUGUUACGUCUGCUGUGAAAACCUAGGGCUUAACCCUGGGCUUGCAGUGGAGUACGGGCAGACUAGAGGUAGGUAGGGGAGAAUGGAAUUCCUGGUGUGAGCGGUGAAAUGCGCAGAUAUCAGGAGGAACACCAAUUGCGAAGGCAGCUCGCUGGGACGUUACUGACGCUGGAGACGCGAAAGCGUGGGGA
rnacentral:rRNA from 1 species